CCUACGGGAGGCAGCAGUGAGGAAUAUUGGUCAAUGGACGAGAGUCUGAACCAGCCAAGUAGCGUGAAGGAUGACUGCCCUAUGGGUUGUAAACUUCUUUUAUAUGGGAAUAAAAUGUUCCACGUGUGGGAUUUUGUAUGUACCAUAUGAAUAAGGAUCGGCUAACUCCGUGCCAGCAGCCGCGGUAAUAUGGAGGAUCCGAGCGUUACCCGGAUUUAUUGGGUUUAAAGGGAGCGUAGGUGGAUUGUUAAGUCAGUUGUGAAAGUUUGCGGCUCAACCGUAAAAUUGCAGUUGAAACUGGCAGUCUUGAGUACAGUAGAGGUGGGCGGAAUUCGUGGUGUAGCGGUGAAAUGCUUAGAUAUCACGAAGAACUCCGAUUGCGAAGGCAGUUCACUGGACUGCAACUGACACUGAGGCUCGAAAGUGUGGGUAUCAAACAGGAUUAGAUACCCGUGUAGUC
rnacentral:rRNA from 1 species